CAGUCGCCGCGGGAAUACGUAGGUGGCAAGCGUUGUCCGGAAUUAUUGGGCGUAAAGGGCUCGCAGGCGGUUUCUUAAGUCUGAUGUGAAAGCCCCCGGCUCAACCGGGGAGGGUAAUUGGAAACUGGGAAACUUGAGUGCAGAAGAGGAGAGUGGAAUUCCACGUGUAGCGGUGAAAUGCGUAGAGAUGUGGAGGAACACCAGUGGCGAAGGCGACUCUCUGGUCUGUAACUGACGCUGAGGAGCGAAAGCGUGGGGAGCGAACAGGAUUAGAUACCCCCGUAGUCCCUGUCUCUUAUAC
rnacentral:rRNA from 1 species